rnacentral:rRNA from 1 species
CCUACGGGGGGCAGCAGUGAGGAAUAUUGGUCAAUGGACGAGAGUCUGAACCAGCCAAGUAGCGUGAAGGAUGACUGCCCUAUGGGUUGUAAACUUCUUUUAUAUGGGAAUAAAAUGUUCCACGUGUGGGAUUUUGUAUGUACCAUAUGAAUAAGGAUCGGCUAACUCCGUGCCAGCAGCCGCGGUAAUACGGAGGAUCCGAGCGUUAUCCGGAUUUAUUGGGGUUAAAGGGAGCGUAGGUGGAUUGUUAAGUCAGUUGUGAAAGUUUGCGGCUCAACCGUAAAAUUGCAGUUGAAACUGGCAGUCUGGAGUACAGUAGAGGUGGGCGGAAUUCGUGGUGUAGCGGUGAAAUGCUUAGAUAUCACGAAGAACUCCGAUUGCGAAGGCAGCUCACUGGACUGCAACUGACACUGAGGCUCGAAAGUGUGGGUAUCAAACAGGAUUAGAUACCCCAGUAGUC